ensembl:lncRNA
GAAAGAAGCACUGAGCAUGCUCCGUGCAUGCGCAUGCCAACCCAGCCAUCCCCUGGGGGGACCGAGAUCAUUCUCCAGUGUGGUUACCUCUGUGGAAGGGCUUGGCGUUACAUCAGCCUUGUGGUGCCAUUAACCCGUUUCUAUCAUGGUCUAAAUGUGUUGCAGUGGAUAUGCAACAGGUGGUGUAGUGGUUAAAGCACCGCCUUACAGCCCAAGGACCCUCGUUUGAAUCCCACCUCCUGGUGUACUGUCCUUGAUCCAGGUAAUUACCCUGAACUGAUGCAGUGAAAUUACCCUGCUAUAUACUGUAAAAGGGUGGAUCAGUGUAAGCUGCUUUGGUGAAAAGUGUCAGUGUAAUAAAUAAAUGUGAGUGUGUGUCAGGAAGUGUGUGUGACGCGAGAUCAGUGCAACGUGAGGCAACCGCAAGCUGAGCGCAUUCCUGAACGGCCUGCGCUUUACAGUCCCGUGCGCCUGUCCUGUUGUCUUGGACCUCAUGUGGCCCGCUUGGUUGACGGAGCCCUGAGGGACUGGACUCCCUCGCAGUGACCCAGUGCAGACGAGCGAUUUGACGUCCGAAACCUCGCUGGCGACGAGCCGUUGCGCAGGCGCACGUGGGCGUUAGCGGAGCCGCUCUGGUGGUCUCGUGCGCUGGUCUGCGAGCACAGAAAAGCUCGGCAAAGAUUGCAGAUUCCUGUAUUCUUCUUCCAGGGAUUACCACAAUGCCCUCUCCCCGUACCCUCUGGGGAAGGCGAAUGAAGUAAAAUGGGAUACCCUGUACCUCAUGCUGCUCCAUCCCUCGUGGUCCCCAGUCUUGUUCUCCAUGGUUCUGCCAAAGAUUUAAAGGCAGCAGAAAGGCGAACGGCUUUGGAAGCAUUAGGACACACGUUUUGGUUCUUUAAAAAAAAAAAAAAAGUAGACGAAGAAGGGGAGAACUACAAAGAGAAGCUGCGGCUGGAUGUCCCUCGUGAAAAGGGUGAAAAAAUAUCACAGCCACAGGAUGUGAGCCAGAGCGCUGGGCCCGCACGGUCGGAAGAGCCCGCAGCGACGAGCAGGCGGCAGCAGCCCUCUGAUAAAAAGGAGACCUCCAGGACAGACAGGAUGUCCCUCCACGCUGUAUAUGGACAUGAGAUUGAAACCUCAGUGCUGGGUUCAGCGUCCUUAGGCCUCCCCCAGAGCCCUGGUCAAGUUCCAUCCAGCUGGGGACUUCUGUCACUGCCCGCAGAACCAGAUUUUAGCCUUAGAGCAAAAUUAGUCAGCGGCUGCAGCUGGUUUCCUCAACAGCCAGUGUGUGUAUCUGCUGUGUUUGCUGAAUAAAACUAUGAAGAUAUGUGUUGACCACAUUGUAAGUGAAUUAUUAAAUUCAAAUUGUGGCCCAAGCAUAACUUCAUAAUUAGAAUUUUUGUCGCACCCUGUGCUUCCGAUCCUGCAUUAGACAGGCAGUGAAUGAGGAUGGACGGACAGAUUGAAGAAUGAAUUAAUGAAUAAUGAUAAAGUGAAGAACUAUUAUGUAACAGGUGGCACAGCGAGGAGCGCUGCUGUCUCAUAGUGCCUGCGUGGUGUGAGAGGACGUGAGUUCAAUUCCUG